GCCUUCGUCGAGUAAUGGUCAGCACACUCGACCUGUAUUCGAGAGGUCCGAGGUUCGAGUCCCGGCGACGACA
rnacentral:tRNA from 1 species